CGACUCUCGGCAACGGAUAUCUCGGCUCUCGCAUCGAUGAAGAACGUAGCGAAAUGCGAUACUUGGUGUGAAUUGCAGAAUCCCGUGAACCAUCGAGUUUUUGAACGCAAGUUGCGCCUCAAGCCUUCGGGCCGAGGGCACGCUUGCCUGGGCGUCACGCAC
rnacentral:rRNA from 1 species